GUUUUUCUAUGCCCCAGAGUCCCUAGUAGCGUCAAUAAAAAUUGAGUAAUUUUGCACCCGUGUGAAGCCUAUACUUCAUAUCUUGUAUAAUUUGUGCGGCAGGGAGGUAGCCCUGCGGAAGAAUGGAGCCCCAGAUUAUUGUUUCCAAAUGUGUGGCAUGGAUCCUUUACUACUUUACUAAGAGAGUUUGUGGGAAAAACAUAUGAAAAGUAAUAAAAUAUUAAGUAAGUAAAGUAAGAAUGUAUAAUAUUGUACAAUGCAGUCGUUUACUUGGUCCAGACUGAAUGGAGACAUAAUCUAUAAACUGGGCAUAAACACAAAAUAUUGGUAGUAGAGUUGAUAAUGUGGAAUAGAUAGACCUUUAUGCUGGAUCAAACAUUACUUCACAUCUGGGUUUAUAUGUAACUUACUUCCAGAGAAAAGUGCUAAAGAUCCCUUUUUAAAAUAAGAUAAGAUAAGUUUGAGAAUAUGAGAAUAUGAUCUGAUUGACUGACUUCACUGUUCCAGCCAAAAUGAACUGCAUGUACUCUUAAACGUCUAGCAAGCCCUAUAAAGGACUUGAUAGAAGCAUUUCUAAUCAUUUUUUAGGCAGUCAUCAUGUUUCAUGGAUUCUGUUUCUUGUGUGGUUGUGAUUAUUUUUUUUAUUAAAAUUGCAUUGCAUCAGAUAAAGGAUUUUUAUGUGAAUUGAUUCUUAUAUCCAAAGGCAGAAGAUCAGGGUGGAGAUAAUAACAUUCUGAGUGGAAUAGAGAACAAAAAAUAGCAAUAUAACUGUAUAAUUUUAAAUAACUAAAAAAUAGACAUUUGGAUCUUUCUAUUCCGUUCUCUUUAGGUUUCUAUGUAGUGUUUCCUAUAGGAAUUAUAUUUCUACUAUAAAUCAAUACAUCUUCAGAUACCAGCACCCAAGUCAUUUGUUAGUGUGCCACUCAUUUGUUAAGUGUCCAUUCCUAUAUGCAGCCAUUAAGAAAGCAGUAUUAGGAGCACAGGCCAUUGUGCCAACAGACACCUUAAUUUACAGAUCACGUCAGGAGUUGGGGAAAGGUGUUUUUAUGUAAAAGUAAAGAGAAGGUGCCUCACUAACAUAGGUCUACAUUCUGUCUCUGGAUUACACAUUUUUAAACAUAUAUAUUAUUGCUUCAGCUUAAUCCUUCCAGCAGUCUACCAUAGAGUUCUUCAGACUUGUCCCAGAAUCCACCAAUACACCAGAAAUUCAAUAUCUACUUGCUUCAGCAGAGGUGAGCGAAUCAUUAGCUCAUGGUUAUCUCACAACAUGGUCUGUUAGUGAGUCCAGCGGACAGGUUUGUAGAACAAUGACCAUCGAUAUUGGAAUACACAACUGGUCUGUAGUAACUGAAUAUAUAUAUUACUGUGCUAGACUUUUGUAUUGUUUUUUUUUUUUUACUUGGGUAGUAAAAGGAAGGGGGUGUAACGCUGACACUUGAGGUUACAAACAACUCAUUAAAUACAACAUACAACAUUGUUUGACAAACAAAGCGCAACAUGAUAGAGAUGAGUCAUAUGGGUUCAACCACAUUAUUGCGCAAUCUUGGGGUUUGGAGUUGAUCACUUUAAAUGUGGUGAUGGUGACAAGGAUACUCAGGGAUAUUUACCAAAAAAAUAAAGUCUCUGUGGGUUUUUAUGGAUGUUACACGAUUCCAGCCAGUCACACUACCUGCAGCCAGGGCCCGUCUGUAGAUUGCAGGGCAGCUCGUUCUCAGAUAAUAGUCUCACAAGUAAACCAGUCUUAAAUCUCAAAUAAGAGUUAUCGAAUAUUGAAUAUGUCGUCUUCUGGAGCGUCUCUCCUGCCACAAUUGCCACAGUAUCAAGGCAGGGAUAAGUGCUAAUAUCAGGCAUAUAUUUCCUUGUGCAUUUGCUUGCUGAAAUGCAAGUACCUGUUUAAUUAAUGGAUAAAUGUAGGUAUAAGUAUUUAUACAUACAUUUGCCGUGUGUGUAUGUUGGAUGUCUUGUAUAAUAAUAACAGAGGCUUUUAUUACAUGGAAUGUGGCACACAAUGGCUUGUGACCUUAGAGGGGUAUGAUGUAAAUGUAUUUUUGCCACAAUAUAUGUAAUCU